GCUUGGGGAGUGAGAGGAGAGGGCGUCGGUGAUUCAAGGUCUUUGGGGCAUCUGCCGCUGCCUGCCGGGGGAGGGGCUCGGCGUCUUCGGCCCGUGGAGCGCCCCAGCAGCGGAGGGGGGAUUUGAACUCGGCACUUCCAGUCUCUUGGUCUUCCUGCCGGGGAGCAGCUGCACCUGCCAAUGGAGGCUCCCGCUGGCGAAAGGCGCAGGAUGUGGGCCCGUGUCUCAAGGCAGGUGGUGAAGCUCUACGCCCUGGGCCUGCUGCUCUCCCUUCUCUCCGCCCUCUUUGGGCUCAUGGACUUCCUUGGGGAGUGGGUGUCCCGCCCACGCCUGGCGCCCCCCCUCCCUGGCCGGCGGGAGCAGCCCGAAGGGGGCCCGCUGGUGGACGCCCCCCGGCACCACCUUGGCCGCAGGGGAGGCCGGACAGCAGCCUUGAAUGGCCGGCCAAGGCUUUGAGGGGCUGGCUGCGACCUGCUCCUCUGUGUGGGUGGGUGUGUCCUGGGGGGUGGGGGGUGUUCUGAACUGGGAGGGGGUCCACAUCUGUGCUGUGCUCCAAGCCAUGCCCGCCUUGCAAGAAUGUCUCCAGUCUGCUGCCAGCCGUGAAGGAAACUGAGGCCCACUCGGAGGACUUGAGGCCGCCCCCUUGCGUCACAGGGCACUUCUCUGCCUCCUCCGGACGACUGGCCAGGCUUCCAUCUGCAGUGGACGGUCCUCCCUAUAAGCAGGCCCGCCAGGACUCUGCCCCAGCUCUUGGUGCCAGCCUCAGGGCUGCCCGUCCCUUGAGGGCUUUCCAGCAGGACAGGCUGGGCAUCAGCAGAAGGAAGGCGUGGUGGGGGGCGGAGGCAAGUUGGGCCUCCAGACUGUUAGGCCGCCUUUCUGUGGGUCUCUGUCUGGGGCAGGGCAGGGCACAAGGACUGCGUUUCAUACGCUCUUCUCUCUGUUGGCUUCCUAAGGAAGAAAGUGGCCCCUCCCCCCAUUCCCCCAGCAACGUCUGCAGUGUCCUUGGUGCUAUUGAAAUAAAUGCUUGUUGUUUUCUUUUUAAAA